GUUCAAAAAAAAGAAAGAAAGAAAGAAACAAAACGAACAAAAACAACAAAAAAAGAGAAGAAGAAUAGAGCCGACAAAGGUAAGUUUCUCAAAUCUUGGUAUUUAUUUGUCUGCAUGGGCAUAAACUCUUGGCAUUGAUCUUUACAUUUUCUUCCUCCUAGGAUAAAAAUUCCUAGUAUGAUGGAUUUUCCUCCCAAUACAAAUCUUAGAAGACCUAGUCUGAUGAACUUUCUCCUAGGAUCAAAAUCUUAGUCUGACAAAUCUUUCUCCUAAGAUACCAAAAUAUGACCUAGUCUGAUGAACUUUCUCCUAGGAUCAAAAUCUUAGUCUGACGAAUCAUUCUCCUAAGAUACCAAUGAUGAACUUUCUCCUAGGAUCAAAAUCUUAGUCUGAUGAAUCUUUCUCCUAAGAUACCGAAAAAGAGUGACCUAGUC
rnacentral:lncRNA from 1 species